UUGAUCCUGGCUCAGAAUCAACGCUGGCGGCGUGCCUAACACAUGCAAGUCGAACGCGGUUAUCCAGCAAUGGAUAACUGAGUGGCGAACGGGUGAGUAUCACGUGGGUGACCUACCUUCGAGUGGGGGAUAACGUCCCGAAAGGGACGUUAAUACCGCAUAACAUCCUGCCUUUGAACAGGCGGUGAUCAAAGCCGGGUACCGUAAGGCCCGGCGCUUGAUGAGGGGCUCGCGUCUGAUUAGCUAGUUUGUGAGGUAACGGCCCACCAAGGCGACGAUCAGUAUCCGGCCUGAGAGGGUGGACGGACACACUGGGACUGAGACACGGCCCAGACUCCUACGGGAGGCAUCAGUGGGGAAUUGUUCACAAUGGGCGCAAGCCUGAUGACGCAACGCCGCUUGGAGGAUGAAGGUCUUCGGAUUGUAAACUCCUGUUGCCCGGGACGAAAUGCUCUGACCUAACACGUCGGAGUCUGACGGUACCGGGUGAGGAAGCCCCUGCUAACUCUGUGCCAGCAGCCGCGGUAAUAAGGU
rnacentral:rRNA from 1 species